ensembl:lncRNA
UCUGGGGGGAAAUUGGGAUUUUGGGGGUGGGAAUCUGAAAAUUCCAAAAUUUUGGGGUUUAGACCAAAAAAAUCCAAAAUUUUCGAAAUUCAUUUGCAAUUUUUUUGGGAUUUAUACCCAAAAAAAUCCCAAUUUUUAUGGAUUUAGUCCUCAAAAUUUCCGGGAUUUAAACCCCCAAAAAUCCCAAGGAUUUAUUCCCAAAAAAUCCCAAUUUCCAUGGAUUUAAUCCCAAAAAAAUCCAAAUUUUCAAGGAUUUAACCCCAAAUUCUGAGGAUUUAUUCCAGAAAUUCCCAAAUUUUCACAGAUUUAUUCCCAAAAAAUCCAAAUUUUCAAGGAUUUAACCCCAAAUUCCGGGGAUUUAUUCCAGAAAUUCCCAAAUUUUCACAGAUUUAUUCCCGAAAAAUCCAAAAUUUCCGAGAUUUAUCACCAAAAUUCCCAAAAAUUCCAUGAAUUUAUUUCCCAAAAAUUCAGGGAUUUCUUCCCAAAUUUCUGGAAUUUUUGGGGGGGAAUUUUUGGGAUUUUGUGGAAUUUCUUGGGAAUUUUGAAGGAAUUUUCCAGGAUUUCCUUGGAAUUCCAUGGAAUUUCCAUUGGAUAUUUUGGGAUUUCUUGGGAUUUUUUUUUUGGGGACUUUUAUGAGAUUUUCUUGGAAUUUUUGGGGGAUUUCUUGGAAUUUUAAGGAAUUUCUUGGAAUUUCCUUAGAUUUUAAUAAAAUUUCAGGUUUUUCUUGGAAUUUCUUGGAAUUUUAAGGGAUUUCUUUGGAAUUUUUGGGCAUUUCCUUGAAAUUUUUUGUGACUUUUUGGAACUUUUUGGGAUUUUUGAAAUUUCUCGGAAUUUUUUGGGAUUUUUCCAAACGUCCUGGAAUUUUAUGGGAACUUUUUGGAGACUUUUUGGAUUUCCAUGGAAUUUCUACAAAUUUUCAGGAAUUUUUUGGGACUCCUAGACUUCUGUCAUUCCCUUGGAACUCCUUUGGAAUUUUUCAGGUUUUCCUUGGAAUUUCUUGGAAUUUUUAAGGGAUUUAUUUUGAAUUUUUUGGGAAUUUCCUUGAAUUUUUUUGGUGACUUUUUGGAACUUUUUGGGAUUUCUUGGGAUUUUUCCCAAUGUCCUGGAAUUUUACAGGAAUUUUCUGGAGACUUUUUGGAUUUCCGUGGAAUUUCUACAAAUUUUCGGGAAUUCCGUCAUUCCCUCGGAACUCCUUUGGAAUUUUUCGCGUUCUCCUUAAAAUUUUCAAGAAUUUCUUCGCAACUUUUUGGGGUUUUCAUCGGAAUUCCCUCAAAAUUUUUUUUUUUUGGGGAGGAUUUCUCACAACUUCUUCCCUAUUCCCCCCGAAUUUUUUUAGGAUUUUUUCCCUUCAGAAUUCCCAAUUUUUUCCUAAAUUUUUCCCAAUUUUUUCCCAAAUUUUUCCCAAUUUUUUCCCUUUCAGAAUUCCCAAUUUUUUCCCAAAUUUUUCCCAAAUUUUUCCCGAUUUUUCCCUCACAAGCUGACGCUCCGGUGGUGCCGGAAGAUUUUGCGGCCGCUCUCGGGCAGCUCCUCGCUGUGCAGGCUCAGCGCGUCCGAAAUUCCCGAAAUUCCCGGAAUUUCGGCCAAAUGUUCCACGGAAUCGAAUUUCUGCAGGUCCGAGGCGAUCGUCUGCAGGCUCAGCAGCGACAGCGACGAUUCCGCGGCGAUUCCCGACAUUCCCGACGCCAUCCGCGGGAUUUCCUGCGGAAUUC